GCUAAGUCAAAAAUAUCAGUAAACUUAGGAACGUAUUGAUUCUUUUUAGCUAACUUCAAGUUGUUUAUUUGAAUUUAAAAACAAUAUUUGGUACAGUAUUUGCUAUAGUUUAUAAGUGUUAAAAAAACAAUUUAGUGGAGUUUCUCCAUUGACGCAAGGUAAGUUAAGUUCUCAAGGAGAAUACAGACAUUAGUAUAUGUAAGUGAGAUUUGUGAUUCUUGGGUGUUUUACAGCUAUGUAUACAUAGCGUUUAUGCUCAUUCAUUUAUCCUAGAAAGUCAUUUGCAGUUCAAGAUCAGCCAUUUAUCAGAG